rnacentral:tRNA from 1 species
CCCGCCCGGUGCUCGAGCCGGUGCGGGUCGGGGACUUCGGGUCGAUGGGCGUGUGGGCGGACCCGACCGGGGCCGCGUUCGGGGUGUGGCAGCCGGGGC